rnacentral:rRNA from 1 species
AUUGAACGCUGGCGGCAUGCUUUACACAUGCAAGUCGAACGGCAGCGCGGGCUUCGGCCUGGCGGCGAGUGGCGAACGGGUGAGUAAUGCAUCGGAACGUGCCCAGUAGUGGGGGAUAGCCCGGCGAAAGCCGGAUUAAUACCGCAUACGACCUGAGGGUGAAAGCGGGGGACCGAAAGGCCUCGCGCUAUUGGAGCGGCCGAUGUCGGAUUAGCUAGUUGAUGGGGUAAAGGCUUACCAAGGCGACGAUCCGUAGCUGGUCUGAGAGGACGACCAGCCACACUGGGACUGAGACACGGCCCAGACUCCUACGGGAGGCAGCAGUGGGGAAUUUUGGACAAAGGGGGCAACCCUGAUCCAGCCAUGCCGCGUGCGGGAAGAAGGCCUUCGGGUUGUAAACCGCUUUUGUUCGGGAAGAAAUCCUCUGGGCUAAUACCCCGGGGGGAUGACGGUACCGGAAGAAUAAGCACCGGCUAACUACGUG